rnacentral:rRNA from 1 species
GAUGAACGCUGACAGAAUGCUUAACACAUGCAAGUCCACUUGAACUUCGGUUUGGGUGGCGGACGGGUGAGUAACGCGUAAAGAACUUGCCUCACAGCUAGGGACAACAUUUGGAAACGAAUGCUAAUACCUGAUAUUAUGAUUAUAUGGCAUCGUAUAAUUAUGAAAGCUAUAUGCGCUGUGAGAGAGCUUUGCGUCCCAUUAGCUAGUUGGAGAGGUAACAGCUCACCAAGGCGAUGAUGGGUAGCCGGCCUGAGAGGGUGAUCGGCCACAAGGGGACUGAGACACGGCCCUUACUCCUACGGGAGGCAGCAGUGGGGAAUAUUGGACAAUGGACCGAGAGUCUGAUCCAGCAAUUCUGUGUGCACGAUGAAGUUUUUCGGAAUGUAAAGUGCUUUCAGUUGGGAAGAAAAAAAUGACGGUACCAACAGAAGAAGUGACGGCUAAAUACGU